AACCAGGGGGUUGAGCUAUGCAUUUACGGUAAAAAGAUAGUUAAGCGAAGCAAGAGGUUUAGUUCAUUGCGUUAUUAAGGGGUAGAAUCCGAAUAUAAUUAAAUAUACUAACUAAAACCAAAGAGCUGAAGCUAUGACAACUUUGAGGGAAACUAGGAUUAGAUACCCUACUAUUCAUAGACGUAAAUAGGAAAACUCUACCAGAGUACUAAGAAUAAAAAAUUUAAAACUCAAAGGGCUUGGCGGUGUUUUAGACUACUUAGGGGAACCUGUCUCAUAAUCGACAGUCCACGUUAGACCUAACCUUCUCUUGCACUCAGUUUGUAUACCGUCGUCGCCAGGUAACUUUUAAGAUGCAAACAGUUAGCAAAUAAAAUAAUUGAAUUAAGACGUCAGAUCAAGGUGCAGCUGACGAGGAGGCAGGGAUGGGUUACAAUUAUAAUACUUAUAAUUACAGAUAAUGGUUUUAAAGACAAUUAGUAAGGAGGACUUAAAAGUAAAAUAAAUUAUAUAGACACUUUGAAUAAAGCUCUGGAACGUGC
rnacentral:rRNA from 1 species